UGCGAGUCUUUGCAGUAAUGCAAGGCAUACGGCUCAGUAACACGUAGUCAACUUACCCUAUGGACGAGGAUAAUCUCGGGAAACUGAGCAUAAUACUCGAUAGACCAUAAUGCCUGGAAUGGUUUAUGGUUGAAAUGAUUCGUCGCCAUAGGAUGGGACUGCGGCCUAUCAGCUUGUUGGUGAGGUAAUGGCCCACCAAGGCGAUUACAGGUACGGGCUCUGAGAGGAGAAGCCCGGAGAUGGGUACUGAGACAAGGACCCAGGCCCUAUGGGGCGCAGCAGGCGAGAAAACUUUGCAAUGUGCGAAAGCACGACAAGGUUAAUCCGAGUGGUUUCUGCUAAAGGAACCUUUUGACAGUCCUAGAAACACUGUUGAAUAAGGGGUGGGCAAGUUCUGGUGUCAGCCGCCGCGGUAAAACCAGCACCUCAAGUGGUCAGGAUGAUUAUUGGGCCUAAAGCAUCCGUAGCCGGCUCUGUAAGUUUUCGGUUAAAUCUGUACGCUUAACGUACAGGCUGCUGGGAAUACUGCAGAGCUAGGGAGUGGGAGAGAUAGACGGUACUCGGGAGGAAGUGGUAAAAUGCUUUGAUCUCUCGAUGACCACCUGUGGCGAAGGCGGUCUAUCAGAACACGUCCGACGGUGAGGGAUGAAAGCUGGGGGAGCAA
rnacentral:rRNA from 1 species